UACGUAGGUGACAAGCGUUGUCCGGAUUUACUGGGCGUAAAGAGCGCGCAGGCGGUCGUUCACGUCGAGUGUGAAAGCCCCCGGCUCAACUGGGGAGGGUCAUUCGAUACUGAUCGACUCGAAGGCAGGAGAGGGUAGUGGAAUUCCCGGUGUAGUGGUGAAAUGCGUAGAUAUCGGGAGGAACACCAGUGGCGAAGGCGACUACCUGGCCUGUUCUUGACGCUGAGGCGCGAAAGCUAGGGGAGCAAACGGG
rnacentral:rRNA from 1 species